AGCGAACGCUGGCGGCAGGCCUAACACAUGCAAGUCGAACGAACCCUUCGGGGUUAGUGGCGGACGGGUGAGUAACACGUGGGAACGUGCCUUUAGGUUCGGAAUAACUCAGGGAAACUUGUGCUAAUACCGAAUGUGCCCCUCGGGGGAAAGAUUUAUCGCCUUUAGAGCGGCCCGCGUCUGAUUAGCUAGUUGGUGAGGUAAUGGCUCACCAAGGCUACGAUCAGUAGCUGGUCUGAGAGGAUGACCAGCCACAUUGGGACUGAGACACGGCCCAAACUCCUACGGGAGGCAGCAGUGGGGAAUCUUGCGCAAUGGGCGAAAGCCUGACGCAGCCAUGCCGCGUGGAUGAUGAAGGUCUUAGGAUUGUAAAAUCCUUUCACCGGGGACGAUAAUGACGGUACCCGGAGAAGAAGCCCCGGCUAACUUCGUGCCAGCCGCCGCCGUAACAC
rnacentral:rRNA from 1 species